UACGAAGGGGGCUAGCGUUGCUCGGAAUCACUGGGCGUAAAGCGCACGUAGGCGGCUUUCUAAGUCAGGGGUGAAAUCCUGGAGCUCAACUCCAGAACUGCCUUUGAUACUGGAGAGCUUGAGUCCGGAAGAGGUGAGUGGAACUCCGAGUGUAGAGGUGAAAUUCGCAGAUAUUCGGAAGAACACCAGUGGCGAAGGCGGCUCACUGGUCCGGUACUGACGCUGAGGUGCGAAAGCGUGGGGAGCAAACAGG
rnacentral:rRNA from 1 species